CCCUUAGAUGCCCUGGGCUGCACGCGCGCUACACUGAUGUGAGCAACAAGUAUAUUUUCUUGCCUGAAAUGGUGUGGCAAUCUAGAAACUGCAUCGUGAUGGGGCCUGUUCAUUGUCAUUAUUGAUCUUAAACGAGGAAUUCCUAGUAAGCACAAAUCAUCAGUUUGUGCUGAUUAUGUCCCUGCCCUUUGUACACACCGCCCGUCGCUCCUACCGAUUGAGUGUUCCGGUGAAGCCUCCGGAUUGGCGCGCACCUCGGUGCCGCCGAGAAGUUGGCUAAACCUUACCAUUUAGAGGAAGGUGAAGUCGUAACA
rnacentral:rRNA from 1 species